rnacentral:rRNA from 1 species
ACUCCUGCGGGAGGCAGCAGUGGGGAAUUUUGGACAAUGGGCGAAAGCCUGAUCCAGCCAUGCCGCGUGCAGGAUGAAGGCCUUCGGGUUGUAAACUGCUUUUGUACGGAACGAAACGGCCUUUUCUAAUAAAGAGGGCUAAUGACGGUACCGUAAGAAUAAGCACCGGCUAACUACGUGCCAGCAGCCGCGGUAAUACGUAGGGUGCAAGCGUUAAUCGGAAUUACUGGGCGUAAAGCGUGCGCAGGCGGUUAUGUAAGACAGUUGUGAAAUCCCCGGGCUCAACCUGGGAACUGCAUCUGUGACUGCAUAGCUAGAGUACGGUAGAGGGGGAUGGAAUUCCGCGUGUAGCAGUGAAAUGCGUAGAUAUGCGGGGGAACACCGAUGGCGAAGGCAAUCCCCUGGACCUGUACUGACGCUCAUGCACGAAAGCGUGGGGAGCAAACAGGAUUAGAUACCCGAGUAGUCC